rnacentral:rRNA from 1 species
AGCUUGCUACUUUGCUGACGAGCGGCGGACGGGUGAGUAAUGCUUGGGAACAUGCCUUGAGGUGGGGGACAACAGUUGGAAACGACUGCUAAUACCGCAUAAUGUCUACGGACCAAAGGGGGCUUCGGCUCUCGCCUUUAGAUUGGCCCAAGUGGGAUUAGCUAGUUGGUGAGGUAAUGGCUCACCAAGGCGACGAUCCCUAGCUGGUUUGAGAGGAUGAUCAGCCACACUGGGACUGAGACACGGCCCAGACUCCUACGGGAGGCAGCAGUGGGGAAUAUUGCACAAUGGGCGCAAGCCUGAUGCAGCCAUGCCGCGUGUGUGAAGAAGGCCUUCGGGUUGUAAAGCACUUUCAGUCAGGAGGAAAGGUUAGUAGUUAAUACCUGCUAGCUGUGACGUUACUGACAGAAGAAGCACCGGCUAACUCCGUGCCAGCAGCCGCGGUAAUACGGAGGGUGCGAGCGUUAAUCGGAAUUACUGGGCGUAAAGCGUACGCAGGCGGUUUGUUAAGCGAGAUGUGAAAGCCCUGGGCUCAACCUGGGAACUGCAUUUCGAACUGGCAAACUAGAGUGUGAUAGAGGGUGGUAGAAUUUCAGGUGUAGCGGUGAAAUGCGUAGAGAUCUGAAGGAAUACCGAUGGCGAAGGCAGCC